CCCGACCCCGACCCGUGCACGCCCCCAGGUCCCGGCCGGAACUCGGCUACUCUGGGACAGGGCAGAGGAAAGUUCUAGACUAGUCCCAACUGCAGCCGCCGUGCGGCCGUGCUCCACGAUCCCCCUCCCGCCGCCUCGCAGACAAAGCCUCCCUGCACGCCCCUUGGAGCCCUGGCCCCAGAGGGUGAAGUUCCUUCCUCCACCCUGAGGAGGAGAAAGAGCCUGAAAGCAGCGAUUCCCAAGAAAGGCGGUUGAAAGUUUCAUCUGCCCCAUUAUCCGCCAGAGCAGGAAACAGGUUUCUUUGCAAUAAACAACUCGAAGCUGUCCCCGGCCUGCAGCGGCAACAGCUAUGGCCUGGCUGGGGAUGCAUGGUAACCUUUAGACAAAAAUUUUUGUGUCCACAGAUACAGCGCAGACGUUAGCCAGUUGGAACAGUAGUGAUGAAGCAGCCAAGAAGCCCCAGCUAAAUUCAUUAUCCAUGCUUAAGACCGCAGACCCCACCCUAACAUUUGCAAGAACAGGGCUCAUCUACCCUAUGUUUAAAUUUUAUAGACUAUGCAAGCCAACAAAAUGAGUUUUAUUCUCCCCUGAGAAACAGUUCCUGAACAACCAGGAAGAGCAGCUUGGUAUAAAGGAACCUCGUGUACUUUGGAGUUCAACCCUGUGACAAAGCAGCAGAAGAAAUUUGUGAUCAGAAGGCUAAAAGCCUCAAAGAAAACUUCAAAAUCAUAGAAUGGUGUUUAAGGACAGAAAUCAUUCAGCUUACUGAGACCAUGGUCGAGUUGUCAAUCAAGCCUGUAGACUUCUUUUCUUCAACAUUGCUGUGCUAAAAUACCCUGACAGAAAAAAAUUAAGGAAGAAAGGGUUUAUUCUGACUCACAGUUCCAGAGGUACAGAGCCCAAGCAUUGUAGAAGAGCUACAGCAAUGGGCAGGGAAAGCAUGGCAACAAUAGCAGGAGCUGGCUGAUCACAUCAUCAUCCAGAGAGGGGAAGCAGAAAGAGAGAACAGAAGAUGAAGGAAGGCUAUACACUCUCAGAGCCCACCACCUAUGAUUCCCAGCAAGACCUCAUCUCCUUGAGAUUCCAGAACCUUGCCAAAUAGCUCCACCAACUGGAGAACAAAUAUUCAAACACAUGCACCUCUGGGGGACAAUUCUCACUCAAACACCACAGUGGUCUGUAAAGAAUUACUGAAUGAUGAAUAGAUUAAUGAAUAAACAAGGGAAUUAAUAAUAUUUCUCAACCCAUUAACGUGUCAUUUCAUGACCACCAAAUAUCCACAAUUAAAUGCCUACCCAAUAACUUAUACAAAGCUUCUGUUUAAUGAACUGGACUCAUAUAGUUCAGUUAACUGUGCAUUGAAACUUGUCACACUUUUCUAAAUGCUUUGACUGUCUGCUGCUGCUGCUGCUGUUGCUGCUAGAUAAAAUGAUAAAAUCCCAGUAGUCUGACUUUGUAGCCAGCCCCAAUCAGGAAAAUUACUCAUGUAUUUGAAAGCUGUUUGGCAGUAAAAGCCCUGUAUAUUAAAUUCUAAAUCUACUUAAUUAACUUCUCUAAUCUUCAUUAAAUAAAGCUCAGUCCACUUUGAUGGAAAUAUGUAAUAAAAACAACUUCUCUGGCAACUCACCCGGUAAUGUGUUAAGUCUUGAGCAGAAGAUUCUGCCUAGGGCCCUGUCCAGCAC